AAUAGAUACCCAGGUAGUCCACGCUGUAAACGAUGGGCACUAGGUGUGGGGGGUGUCGACUCCCUCCGUGCCGAAGCUAACGCAUUAAGUGCCCCGCCUGGGGAGUACGGCCGCAAGGCUAAAACUCAAAGGAAUUGACGGGGGCCCGCACAAGCGGCGGAGCAUGCGGAUUAAUUCGAUGCAACGCGAAGAACCUUACCAAGGCUUGACAUGGACCGGAUCGCUGCAGAAAUGUGGUUUCUCCUUUUGGGGCCGGUUCACAGGUGGUGCAUGGUUGUCGUCAGCUCGUGUCGUGAGAUGUUGGGUUAAGUCCCGCAACGAGCGCAACCCUCGUUCCAUGUUGCCAGCACGUGAUGGUGGGGACUCAUGGGAGACUGCCGGGGUCAACUCGGAGGAAGGUGGGGACGACGUCAAAUCAUCAUGCCCCUUAUGUCUUGGGCUUCACGCAUGCUACAAUGGCCGGUACAAAGGGUUGCGAUACUGUGAGGUGGAGCUAAUCCCAAAAAGCCGGUCUCAGUUCGGAUUGGGGUCUGCUAACC
rnacentral:rRNA from 1 species